rnacentral:tRNA from 1 species
GCCGCCUUAGCUCAGCUGGUUAGAGCGCUGGUUUGUGGAACCAGAGGUCCCCCGUUCAAUCCGGGGAGGCGGUACCA